rnacentral:rRNA from 1 species
UACGUAGGGGGCAAGCGUUGUCCGGAUUUAUUGGGCGUAAAGAGCGUGUAGGCGGCCAAGCAGGUCCGCUGUGAAAACUCGAGGCUCAACCUCGAGACGUCGGUGGAAACCGCAUGGCUAGAGUCCGGAAGAGGAGAGUGGAAUUCCCGGUGUAGCGGUGAAAUGCGCAGAUAUCGGGAAGAACACCCGUGGCGAAGGCGGCUCUCUGGGACGGUACUGACGCUGAGACGCGAAAGCGUGGGGAGCGAACAGG